rnacentral:rRNA from 1 species
AAAAAAGGUAAGCUACUAAGAGCGAAUGGUGGAUGCCUUGACUGGUAAAGGCGAUGAAGGACGUACUAGACUGCGAUAAGCUACGGGGAGCUGUCAAGAAGCUUUGAUCCGUAGAUUUCCGAAUGGGGCAACCCAAUGUAUAGAGAUAUACAUUACCUAUAUAGGAGCGAACGAGGGGAAUUGAAACAUCUUAGUACCCUCAGGAAAAGAAAUCAAUAGAGAUUGCGUCAGUAGCGGCGAGCGAAAGCGCAAGAGGGCAAACCCAGUGCUUGCACUGGGGGUUGUAGGACUGCAAUGUGCAAGAGGUAAGUUUAGCAGAACAUUCUGGAAAGUAUAACCAUAGAGGGUGAUAGUCCCGUAUGCGAAAAACAAACCUUAGCUAGCAGUAUCCUGAGUAGGGCGGGACACGAGGAAUCCUGUCUGAAUCCGGGUCGACCACGAUCCAACCCUAAAUACUAAUACCAGAUCGAUAGUGCACAAGUACCGUGAGGGAAAGGUGAAAAGAACUGAGGUGAUCAGAGUGAAAUAGAACCUGAAACCAUUUGCUUACAAUCAUUCAGAGCCCUAUGUAGCAAUACAGGGUGAUGGACUGCCUUUUGCAUAAUGAGCCUGCGAGUUGUGGUGUCUGGCAAGGUUAAGCAAACGCGAAGCCGUAGCGAAAGCGAGUCUGAAUAGGGCGCUUAGUCAGAUGCUGCAGACCCGAAACGAAGUGAUCUAUCCAUGAGCAAGUUGAAGCUAGUGUAAGAACUAGUGGAGGACUGAACCCAUAGGCGUUGAAAAGCCCCGGGAUGACUUGUGGAUAGGGGUGAAAGGCCAAUCAAACUUCGUGAUAGCUGGUUCUCUCCGAAAUAUAUUUAGGUAUAGCGUUGUGUCGUAAUAUAAGGGGGUAGAGCACUGAAUGGGCUAGGGCAUACACCAAUGUACCAAACCCUAUCAAACUCCGAAUACCUUAUAUGUAAUCACAGCAGUCAGGCGGCGAGUGAUAAAAUCCGUCGUCAAGAGGGAAACAACCCAGACUACCAGCUAAGGUCCCUAAAUCUUACUUAAGUGGAAAACGAUGUGAAGUUACUUAAACAACCAGGAGGUUGGCUUAGAAGCAGCCAUCCUUUAAAGAAAGCGUAAUAGCUCACUGGUCUAGUGAUUUUGCGCGGAAAAUAUAACGGGGCUAAAGUAAGUACCGAAGCUGUAGAUUUGCACACAACUUAGAUUAUUUAAAUUUAAAAUAUGAGAAGCUAAAUUUAUUUUUAUUUAUUUUUGCUUAUCUUUAUUCAUUUUUAUAGAGUAAAGAUAAAAACAAAAACUUCGUAAAAACAAUAAAAUAUAGUAAAAAACAAUAAAAAUAUUCUUAGACUAAAGUUAAGUAGUUUAAGUUGUGUGCAAGUGGUAGGAGAGCGUUCUAUUUGCGUCGAAGGUAUACCGGUAAGGAGUGCUGGAGCGAAUAGAAGUGAGCAUGCAGGCAUGAGUAGCGAUAAUUAAUGUGAGAAUCAUUAACGCCGUAAACCCAAGGUUUCCUACGCGAUGCUCGUCAUCGUAGGGUUAGUCGGGUCCUAAGUCGAGUCCGAAAGGGGUAGACGAUGGCAAAUUGGUUAAUAUUCCAAUACCAACAUUAGUGUGCGAUGGAAGGACGCUUAGGGCUAAGGGGGCUAGCGGAUGGAAGUGCUAGUCUAAGGUCGUAGGAGGUUGUACAGGCAAAUCCGUAUAACAAUACUCCGAGAACUGAAAGGCUUUUUGAAGUCUUCGGAUGGAUAGAAGAACCCCUGAUGCCGUCGAGCCAAGAAAAGUUUCUAAGUUUAGCUAAUGUUGCCCGUACCGUAAACCGACACAGGUGGGUGGGAUGAGUAUUCUAAGGCGCGUGGAAGAACUCUCUUUAAGGAACUCUGCAAAAUAGCACCGUAUCUUCGGUAUAAGGUGUGGUUAGCUUUGUAUUAGGAUUUACUCCGAAAGCGAAGAAACUUACAACAAAGAGUCCCUCCCGACUGUUUACCAAAAACACAGCACUCUGCUAACUCGUAAGAGGAUGUAUAGGGUGUGACGCCUGCCCGGUGCUCGAAGGUUAAUUGAUGGGGUUAGCAUUAGCGAAGCUCUUGAUCGAAGCCCGAGUAAACGGCGGCCGUAACUAUAACGGUCCUAAGGUAGCGAAAUUCCUUGUCGGUUAAAUACCGACCUGCAUGAAUGGCGUAACGAGAUGGGAGCUGUCUCAAAGAGGGAUCCAGUGAAAUUGUAGUGGAGGUGAAAAUUCCUCCUACCCGCGGCAAGACGGAAAGACCCCGUGGACCUUUACUACAGCUUGACACUGCUACUUGGAUAAGAAUGUGCAGGAUAGGUGGGAGGCUUUGAGUAUAUGACGCCAGUUGUAUAUGAGCCAUUGUUGAGAUACCACUCUUUCUUAUUUGGGUAGCUAACCAGCUUGAGUUAUCCUCAAGUGGGACAAUGUCUGGUGGGUAGUUUGACUGGGGCGGUCGCCUCCCAAAUAAUAACGGAGGCUUACAAAGGUUGGCUCAGAACGGUUGGAAAUCGUUCGUAGAGUAUAAAGGUAUAAGCCAGCUUAACUGCAAGACAUACAAGUCAAGCAGAGACGAAAGUCGGUCUUAGUGAUCCGGUGGUUCUGUGUGGAAGGGCCAUCGCUCAAAGGAUAAAAGGUACCCCGGGGAUAACAGGCUGAUCUCCCCCAAGAGCUCACAUCGACGGGGAGGUUUGGCACCUCGAUGUCGGCUCAUCGCAUCCUGGGGCUGGAGCAGGUCCCAAGGGUAUGGCUGUUCGCCAUUUAAAGCGGUACGCGAGCUGGGUUCAGAACGUCGUGAGACAGUUCGGUCCCUAUCUGCCGUGGGCGUAAGAAGAUUGAAGAGAUUUGACCCUAGUACGAGAGGACCGGGUUGAACAAACCACUGGUGUAGCUGUUGUUCUGCCAAGAGCAUCGCAGCGUAGCUAAGUUUGGAAAGGAUAAACGCUGAAAGCAUCUAAGCGUGAAGCCAACUCUAAGAUGAAUCUUCUCUAAGCUCUCUAGAAGACUACUAGUUUGAUAGGCUGGGUGUGUAAUGGAUGAAAGUCCUUUAGCUGACCAGUACUAAUAGAGCGUUUGGCUUAUCUUUAAUAAAGCAU